rnacentral:rRNA from 1 species
GGUUAAAAAAGCUCGUAGUUGGAUUUCUGUCGGUGAGUCGCAGUCCGCUCUCAGUGGUUGGUACUAGCGCUUUCACCGGCAUCUUCCUGGGGACUGUAUCUGCUCUUUAUUGAGUGGGGCGAAAAUCCAGGACUUCUACUUUGAGGAAAUAGGAGUGUUUCAAGCAGGCAUCGCCAUGAACAUGUUAGCAUGGAAUAAUAGCAUCGGACCUCGUUCCAAAGCUGUUGGUUUCUUGGAAUGAGGUAAAGGUGAAUAGGGAUUGUUGGGGGCAUUCGUAUUUAACUGUCAGAGGUGAAAUUCUUGGAUUUGUUGAAGACGGACUACUGCGAAAGCAUCUGCCAAAGAUGUUCUCAUUGAUCAAGAACGAAAGUUAGGUGAUCGAAGACGAUCAGAUACCGUCCUAGUCUUAACCAUAAACUAUGCCGACUGGAGAUCGGGGGUCGUUAACUUUGUGACGCCCUCUGCAUCUUGG